rnacentral:rRNA from 1 species
UGGGGAAUAUUGGGCAAUGGACGCAAGUCUGACCCAGCAACGCCGCGUGAAGGAAGAAGGCUUUCGGGUUGUAAACUUCUUUUGUCAGGGAAGAGAAGAAGACGGUACCUGGCGAAUAAGCCACGGCUAACUACGUGCCAGCAGCCGCGGUAAUACGUAGGUGGCAAGCGUUGUCCGGAUUUACUGGGUGUAAAGGGCGUGCAGCCGGGAAGACAAGUCAGAUGUGAAAUCCCGCGGCUCAACCGCGGAACUGCAUUUGAAACUGUUUUUCUUGAGUACCGGAGAGGUCAUCGGAAUUCCUUGUGUAGCGGUGAAAUGCGUAGAUAUAAGGAAGAACACCAGUGGCGAAGGCGGAUGACUGGACGGCAACUGACGGUGAGGCGCGAAAGCGUGGGGAGCAAACAGGAUUAGAUACC